UCAAACAUAAAAAGAAAAAGAAAAAAAAAGAAAAAAAAUAUUCACACGAAUCUCAAUAUAAGAUCAAUGACAUAUGACUUAGAUGUGCAAUACUUAUGGCACGUCUAGAUGUGCUUUAGCAAAACUGUAGUUUUUAUCUCCAUGUCCGCGCCCAGCAGAGAGGCGAAUGCACCGCCGGCCACCAAGCCAUCAACUCCAGCGCCUCCCGGACAGGGAGGGCUCACACAGGCCGGCGGCAAGGUGAUUCCUCAAACUACCGGUCGGGCAAACGACUUCUGCAUCCAUGGAUCAUCACGAGAUGCUGUAGAUUGGUUAGUAUCUGAUCAACCCACACCCUCCUCUCCCAUGGCUGUUGCGGCGAGCACUAACACCUUGAGGAUCAUGAUCCUAGAUCCCACUUCCCAGUACAACACAAGCAGACCACGCAUUUCACAACAUCAUCAGUCACGUACAUCUAAUCCUAUUGAACUCGCUUCAUGGUGUACAUGUGUGCGCCUGUACAUGGAUCCUGGCUUUGAUUAACCUAGGAUCCCAUUUCCCAUGGUUAUUGCAGCUAGCACAACACUUCUCCGCCGUUAAUGAACCUGUACAGAAAGUAGAGUAAACUAAGAUGAAGCAUGAAAAAACAAACCUUCAGAUCUAGCAUAGUUUUGUUAUUUGAUAAAAUGUUCUGUAACUAAUUGGAUGAUGCCCUUAUGUUAAAAUGUUUAUUUGUUCUUCAAGUAGGCCAACGGUGGUUGCAACAAAUGAUAUACAUGUAUCAACAAUGGAAGGAGGCAUUGAUUGGUCCCAGAUUGAGAUAGCACCGAUGAAUGAUGACGAAAUUGAUGUUCCUAUAACAAAAGAGAACAUGUGCACGGUUCUUGGCAUCAAUGACGAACCUGAGCAUCGGAAAAUUGUAUCUGAAGCAGCUAUGAAAGCCUCCAUUGCACAUGUUGAUGCAUGUGUGGCUGAUAUUGAUGAGGAUUUACUUGCUGAUGCGGCUCUUCCUGUGCCUGACCAUAUGCCUGAAGAGAAUCACUUCUGGUAUGAUAAGGAACAUCCUGUGAUAGAGGAAGGAUCUUUGUUUCGUUCAAUGAAAGAGUUCAGGAUGCUCAUGAGAACAUUUGCUAUUAGAGGUAAGUUUGACAUCAAGAUCAACGAUAGUUACACUACUAGAUUUUUGGGUCACUGUAAAGGGAAUGGAUGUCCUUGGAGAAUAACUGCUAGGACAAUAGAAGAUGGAAAAACAGUCAGGGUACAAACUUAUCCAACAUGAAUCAUUUUUUAUGUUGAAACUAUUUUACUUGCAACUGAUGGUUGGUGUUAUGUUUUGUGCAGGUUAACAAGAUAGUAAAGCCUCAUAAGUGUUCAUCAACCGCUGCAGUGAUUACAAGCAUGACAGACCAAGCAUGGGUGGCAGAAAAGGCAAUGGGGUAUCUUCAAACUGAACCAAACAUUGGUGCCAGGGAGCUCCAAAAAAGCUACAAGUCGAGAACAAAUGUACUAUUGGGUAUCAUACUGUUAACAAGGGAAAAGAAAGGGCCAAGAAUAGUUUAUAUGGGACCUGGGGAAAAAGCUUUCAGUCUUUAUUGAACUUCAAAGCUGAGAUUGAUAAAAGAUCUCCUGGUAGCAUUGUCGAGGUUGAUGUCAAGAGGGAAGGAGGUGAACUGCAUUUCCGUAGAUUUUUUAUGGCACUUAAGCCGUGCAUUGAUGGCUUCUUGGCUGGUUGUAGACCAUAUGUCAGUAUAGACUCCACAUUUUUGACUGGAAAGUGGAAUGGUCAAUUAGCAGCAUGUACAGCACUAGAUGGGCAAAAUUGGAUGUUUCCUUUAGCAUUUGGUUUCUUUGGUAUAGAGACCGAGGAUAACUGGAUUUGGUUUAUGCAACAACUGCAUAGGGCAAUAGGACAUAUUCAAACUCUAGCUGUUUGUACUGAUGCAUGCAAAGGAUUAGAGAAUGCAGUUAAAAUUGUGUUUCCCCAAGCUGAGCAAAGAGAAUGCUUUAGGCAUCUGAUGGCAAACUUAAAAAAAUAAUUCAUGGAGAUGUUUUUGGUCACAUGUGGCCAGCAGCCAAGGCUUACCGUCUGGAAACAUUUAACUAUCAUAUGUGCAAGAUAUUUGAAGCUGAACCUGCAGUGAGUGCCUACUUGUGUACCUAUCAUAACUUAAAGUGGAUGAGAUGUGACUUCAACACAGAAAUCAAAUGUGAUUACAUUCACAAUAAUCUGGCCGAGUGCUUCAAUAGUUGGAUCAAAGGAACAAAGGAGCUACCCAUGGAUGAGCUAGCCGAUACAAUAAUAGAGAAAAUUAUGAUACUUGUUUAUAGAAGGAGAAGAAUUGGGGAAAUGCUCUAGGGAAAGAUGUUGCCUGCCAUCAUUCAACAAAUAAAUAAUAGAACUAGGCAACUUGACCAUUUGGUUGUUGGAAGAUCAACCGGAGAAAGUUGUGAGGUCAAGGACACUAGCAAGAAUAAUCUUAGGCAUGUUGUGAAGAUAGGCAGCCGUGAGUGCACUUGCCUAGAAUGGCAACACACUGGAAAGCCCUGUGAGCAUGCAAUUGCAUUCCUUAUAGAGACAGCAGAUGUAAACUUUGAACCAUAUGUACAUGAGUACUACUCCGUGAGUAGGUUCCGGGCUGCCUAUGCUGGAGAGAUUGAACCAAUCACAGACAAGUCUCAAUGGCCUCAUGUUAAUCUAGAUAUUGAGAUGGUGCCACCAGUUUUAAAGAGCUCUGUUGGGAGACGGAGGAAGCAGAGAAUCAGAAGUUGCCUUGAAGAUGGUGGUCGAGGUGGCAGCAAACGGAAGAAGAAAGAUGAUAAUGGCAAAACAAAUGACCAACAAGGAGGUGACAAAGAGAAGGAAAAAGAAAAGAAGAGAUUUGGUAGCAAAAAUAGGUGCAAAGAAUGUGGGAUAUUGGGGCACAGGAAAGCAACUUGCAAACAAAAUGAAGCUAAAGAGAGGUAACCCAUGCACUAGUAUCUCAUCUAUAUUAGUAUCAAAUUAGUACUAUUAUACCAUCUAUAACAUCCGGUGUGAUUGGACUUUCUAGUGACGUGUCUACUCACGAGCUCGCUCCGGCUGUUGUUGCGACACCUACACACACAACAACAAUCACACUGCCUCCCAGCCUUCAUAACAGCCCUGGGCCUAUCACAAGGAGGUAAAAAUUAUAUUUCUCAUAUGCACAUUUGAUUCCUACUUUUAUAACAUUGGUGUGUAAACAUGUAGGAGGCUUGCUAUGGCCAUAGCUGGAGACGAUGCAUCACAACCAUCUGGGACAACUAUUAAUUCUGUAGCAUCACCUACCUCUCACUUCCCUUCAAGCUCUACGACGCGCAAGAAAAAAUUGACCCCAAAAAGGAAGAAGCUCCAAUUUUAGUGCAUUAAAUUUCUAUUUUAAAUUCUGAGAGAUGUUCACAUCUGUCAGUUUCAAAGAUAUGGAGUCGGAAGAAUUAUUAUUUUGCUUGGUGUAAACUCGGAUUAAUUUGUCAUGUCAUUUGAACCGAGCAACCUUUUUGUGACAUUACUUUGUGAUUUCGGUGUGAUAUAUUCUGCCAAUUCCAUGUGCUAAGUGAACAUAUGUUGUCACUUUAUUUUUAAAAUCUAUGAAAUUGUUAUAUGCUGCCAAAUUCCAACGAAGUGCAUAUGCGAGGAUGCACAACAUAUAUACAGACCCCUGACCUGUGACUAGAGGAGAUCCAGCAAGAGAUGAACUCAAAAUCAUAUGUGAUUUAGUUAGAAAGUACUCUUCAGCAUCUACGCAUUUUUUAGUGUGUGAUACAAUUUAAGUCUCAAGCAUAUGGAGGAGAUCACUCAGCGAAGUAUUUUAAACAACCCACCCAGCUUCAUGACUGAAGCAGGACCAACAACUGCUAGGGUAAUUAUUAGUACUAUAUAUAAACACUGUAGUCCAGCCAUGGCUAUUACCGGCGAAGCAACCAACUCACACACAAAAAUCUGUAAAUCCAUCAAUCACUUAAAAAGUUAGCUUUUACCAGCAACGAGGGCGCUAUCCGCAGCUCCGAGUUGCAGCCGGUGCUCCGGGACCUGCCGGUCCGCCGAGCUGCAGCUGAAGUCGCCGAGCUGCCGACAUGCAGCGGGAAUCGCCGCAGCGGGCCGCUGACCUGCAGCCGGAGCGAGACGCCGCGGGCCGUCGACCUGCAGCGGCAGUCACCGCGCCGGG
rnacentral:lncRNA from 1 species